GGACUGGCUUUAGCUCAGCGGUUACUUCGACAGUGCUUUCUGCUUGUUACUUACACUCGUGGUGUGUUCAAGCUUCGCCGCCAGCCCUUGCAAAGCCUGCGAGUGGUCGGCUCGAGACCCGCGGGCGCUCUCCAGUCCUUUU
ensembl:misc_RNA Vault Vault RNA